rnacentral:rRNA from 1 species
CCUACGGGUGGCAGCAGUGGGGGAUAUUGCACAAUGGGGGGAACCCUGAUGCAGCGACGCCGCGUGGGUGAAGGAGUGCUUCGGCAUGUAAAGCCCUAUCGGCAGGGAAGAAGCAAGACGGUACCUGACUAAGAAGCCCCGGCUAACUACGUGCCAGCAGCCGCGGUAAUACGUAGGGGGCGAGCGUUAUCCGGAUUCACUGGGUGUAAAGGGAGCGUAGACGGCCAUGCAAGCCAGGGGUGAAAGCCCGGGGCCCAACCCCGGGACUGCCCUUGGAACUGGGCGGCUAGAGUGCGGGAGGGGCAGGCGGAAUGCAUGGUGUAGCGGUGAAAUGCGUAGAUAUCAGGAGGAACACCGGCGGCGAAGGCGGCCUGCUGGACUGCGACUGACGUUGAGGCUCGAAAGCGUGGGGAGCGAACAGGAUUAGAUACCCCUGUAGUC